rnacentral:rRNA from 1 species
GGGGAGGGGCUCGCGUCCCAUUAGCUAGUUGGUGAGGUAACGGCUCACCAAGGCUACGAUGGGUAGCCGGCCUGAGAGGGCGACCGGCCACAGUGGAACUGAGACACGGUCCACACUCCUACGGGAGGCAGCAGUGAGGAAUCUUGCGCAAUGGGCGAAAGCCUGACGCAGCGACGCCGCGUGGACGAUGAAGGCCUUCGGGUCGUAAAGUCCUGUCGGGUGGGAAGAAUUGGCUUGGGGAUAACACCUCCAGGCCUUGACGGUACCACCAGAGGAAGCCCCGGCUAACUCCGUGCCAGCCGCCGCGGUAA